rnacentral:rRNA from 1 species
AGCGGCGGACGGGUGAGUAACACGUAGGCAACCUGCCUGUAAGAUCGGGAUAACUACCGGAAACGGUAGCUAAGACCGGAUAGCUGGUUUCUCCGCAUGGGGGAAUCAUGAAACAUGGGGCAACCUGUGGCUUACGGAUGGGCCUGCGGCGCAUUAGCUAGUUGGUGGGGUAAUGGCCCACCAAGGCGACGAUGCGUAGCCGACCUGAGAGGGUGAUCGGCCACACUGGGACUGAGACACGGCCCAGACUCCUACGGGAGGCAGCAGUAGGGAAUCUUCCGCAAUGGGCGCAAGCCUGACGGAGCAACGCCGCGUGAGUGAUGAAGGUUUUCGGAUCGUAAAGCUCUGUUGCCAAGGAAGAACGCCUCGGAGAGUAACUGCUCUGAGGGUGACGGUACUUGAGAAGAAAGCCCCGGCUAACUACGUGCCAGCAGCCGCGGUAAUACGUAGGGGGGCAAGCGUUGUCCGGAAUUAUUGGGCGUAAAGCGCGCGCAGGCGGUCUUUUAAGUUUGGUGUUUAAGCCCGGGGCUCAAC